rnacentral:rRNA from 1 species
UACGGAGGGAGCUAGCGUUGUUCGGAAUUACUGGGCGUAAAGCGCACGUAGGCGGCUUUGUAAGUUAGAGGUGAAAGCCCGGGGCUCAACCCCGGAAUUGCCUUUAAGACUGCAUCGCUUGAAUCCAGGAGAGGUGAGUGGAAUUCCGAGUGUAGAGGUGAAAUUCGUAGAUAUUCGGAGGAACACCAGUGGCGAGGGCGGCUCACUGGUCCGGUACUGACGCUGAGGUGCGAAAGCGUGGGGAGCAAACAGG